CCUACGGGUGGCUGCAGUGAGGAAUAUUGGUCAAUGGACGAGAGUCUGAACCAGCCAAGUAGCGUGAAGGAUGACUGCCCUAUGGGUUGUAAACUUCUUUUAUAUGGGAAUAAAACAGGGUAUGCAUACCCUCUUGUAUUUACCAUAUGAAUAAGGAUCGGCUAACUCCGUGCCAGCAGCCGCGGUAAUACGGAGGAUGCGAGCGUUAUCCGGAUUUACUGGGUUUAAAGGGUGCGCAGGCGGAAUGUCAAGUCAGCGGUAAAAUUUCGGGGCUAAACCCCGUCGUGCCGUUGAAACUGGCGUUCUUGAGUGAGCGAGAAGUAUGCGGAAUGCGUGGUGUAGCGGUGAAAUGCAUAGAUAUCACGCAGAACUCCGAUUGCGAAGGCAGCAUACCGGCGCUAAACUGACGCUCAUGCACGAAAGCGUGGGUAUCGAACAGGAUUAGAUACCCGUGUAGUC
rnacentral:rRNA from 1 species